rfam:Jatropha curcas cultivar GZQX0401 scaffold160_51, whole genome shotgun sequence.
GCCUCUGAGGAUGAUGAGUAUUGAACUUUCCGAGAUUUUUCAUGCGGAAAAUUUUUUGGAGACCUGAACUGAAGAGGC